GGGAAAUGGGUACAGGGGCCAGCCCCAGGCCCCCAAACCCAAACAAGUUUAUGGGGCA
rfam:Cricetulus griseus cell line CHO-K1, whole genome shotgun sequence.